CGUCCAUCCUUGCUAUUCCAGGCUGCCGGCCUAGAACCCAUCCUAGAUCGAUGAUGAAGAAGAAGAAGAAGCAACUCCAAAUGAACAAUCAACGCGCACGCGUCAAGUACUCUUUACAUGUACCUGCAACUGGUGUUGUAGUAAUCUGUGAGCCACAGGGGACUGAGCAAUCUCAUUUCCAAAGGUAUCAAGACUAGCAAAGCUUAAUGGGUGAGGCAUGGUUAAGUGGUGAGGUUGCAGCAACGUCUAAGCAUAUAUUUGGUGGGUAACUUAUGAGUAUAAGAAAAUAAGAGGGGGAAGAUCUACGCAUAACGAACGUGAACUACUGAUGAUCAACUGAAUGAUCCUGAACACCUAC
rnacentral:lncRNA from 1 species